rnacentral:tRNA from 1 species
GGAAGCGUAGCUCAGUUGGUAGAGCAGCUGACUCUUAAUCAGCGGGUCCGGGGUUCGAGUCCCCGCGCUUCUA